AGUUCUGAUUAUGGCUCAGAUUGAACGCUGGCGGGAUGCUUUUUACACAUGCAAGUCGAACGCAGCAUGGACUUCUUGGUCUGGUGGCGAGUGGCGAACGGGUGAGUAAUGUAUCGGAACGUGCCUAGUAGCGGGGGAUAACUACGCGAAAGCGCUAAUACCGCAUACGCCCUUCGGGGAAAGCGGGGACCUUUCGCCUUCGCACUAUUAGAGCGGCCGAUAUCGGAUUAGCUAGUUGGUGGGGUAACGGCUCACCGUUAUGACGAUCCGUAGCUGGUUUGAGAGGGACGACCAGCCACACUGGGACUGAGACACGGCCCAGACUCCUACGGGAGGCAGCAGUGGGGAAUUUUGGACAAUGGGGGAAACCCUGAUCCAGCCAUCCCGCGUGCGAUGAAGGCCUUCGGGUUGUAAAGCACUUUUGGCAGGAAAGAAACGGGCAUCGAUAAUACCCGUGCAACUGACGGUACCUACAGAAUAAGCACCGGCUAACUACGUGCCAGCAGCCGCGGUAAUACGUAGGGUGCAAGCGUUCAUCGGAAUUACUGGGCGUAAAGCGUGCGCAGGCGGUUCGAAAGAAAGAUGUGAAAUCCCAGAGCUUAACUUUUUGGAACUGCAUUUUUAACUACCGAGCUAGAGUGUGGCCGUAGGAGGUGGAAUUCGCGUGUAGCAGUGAAAUGCGUAGAUAUGCGGAGGAACACCGAUGGCGAAGGCAGCCUCCUGAUAACACUGACGCUCAUGCACGAGCGUGGGGAGCAAACAGGAUUAGAUAAUUCUGGUAGUCCACGCCCCAAACGAUGUCAACUAGCUGUUGGGGCCUUCGGGCCUUGGUAGCGCAGCUAACGCGUGAAGUUGACCGCCUGGGGAGUACGGUCGCAAGAUUAAAACUCAAAGGAAUUGACGGGGACCCGCACAAGCGGUGGAUGAUGUGGAUUAAUUCGAUGCAACGCGAAAACCUUACCUACCCUUGACAUGUCUGAAUCCCGAAGAGAUUUGGGGAGUGCUCGCAAGAGAACCGGAACACAGGUGUUGCAUGGCUGUCGUCAGCUCGUGUCGUGAGAUGUUGGGUUAAGUCCCGCAACGAGCGCAACCCUUGUCAUUAGUUGCUACGAAAGGGCACUCUAAUGAGACUGCCGGUGACAAACCGGAGGAAGGUGGGGAUGACGUCAAGUCCUCAUGGUUCUUAUGGGUAGGGCUUCACACGUCAUACAAUGGUCGGGACAGAGGGGGUCGCCAACCCGCGAGGGGGAGCCAAUCCCAGAAACCCGAUCGUAGUCCGGAUCGCAGUCUGCAACUCGACUGCGUGAAGUCGGAAUCGCUAGUAAUCGCGGAUCAGCAUGUCGCGGUGAAUACGUUCCCGGGUCUUGUACAUUAACCGCCCGUCACACCAUGGGAGUGGGUUUUACCAGAAGUAGUUAGCCUAACCGUAAGGAGGGCGAUUACCACGGUAGGAUUCAUGACUGGGGUGUAGUCGUAACAAGGUAACUCUGUUA
rnacentral:rRNA from 1 species